GACGAACGCUGGCGGCGUGCCUAAUACAUGCAAGUUGAGCGCUGAAGGUUGGUACUUGUACCGACUGGAUGAGCAGCGAACGGGUGAGUAACGCGUGGGGAAUCUGCCUUUGAGCGGGGGACAACACUUGGAAACGAAUGCUAAUACCGCAUAAAAACUUUAAACACAAGUUUUAAGUUUGAAAGAUGCAAUUGCAUCACUCAAAGAUGAUCCCGCGUUGUAUUAGCUAGUUGGUGAGGUAAAGGCUCACCAAGGCGAUGAUACAUAGCCGACCUGAGAGGGUGAUCGGCCACAUUGGGACUGAGACACGGCCCAAACUCCUACGGGAGGCAGCAGUAGGGAAUCUUCGGCAAUGGACGAAAGUCUGACCGAGCAACGCCGCGUGAGUGAAGAAGGUUUUCGGAUCGUAAAACUCUGUUGGUAGAGAAGAACGUUGGUGAGAGUGGAAAGCUCAUCAAGUGACGGUAACUACCCAGAAAGGGACGGCUAACUACGUG
rnacentral:rRNA from 1 species